UACAGAGGUGGCAAGCGUUGUUCGGAAUUACUGGGCGUAAAGGGCGCGUAGGCGGUCUUGUCAGUCCCUUGUGAAAUCCCCGGCUCAACUGGGAACUGCAAGGGAAACAGCAGGGCUUGAGUUCGGGAGAGGGAAGCGGAAUUCCGGGUGUAGCGGUGGAAAUGCGUAGAUAUCUGGAGGAACACCGGUGGCGGAAGGCGGCAGUCUGGACCAACACUGACACUGAGGAGCGAAAGCC
rnacentral:rRNA from 1 species